rnacentral:lncRNA from 1 species
GAACUUAGAGAUAGAAGACAAGCUCUACUGCUCGUAAAAGAAUUUCAUUUGUAAUGCUUUAAUAUGAAUUGGCUUUGAUCUGUUUGGCACAAUUUUUGUUUUUUAUUGGUUGGGACAAUUCGAAACCUAGUUAAUGUAUUUUAAUCCCGUGAAGUGUCCACAUGUAACACUCAUCUUUAAAUAGUCGCUAGUCUUGUAAACACACAUGUGAUAAUUUAAUAUUCUAUCCGGUCGCUCACUGGUACGUACAUCUUAUACACAUGAUACACAAAAGC